rnacentral:rRNA from 1 species
CCUACGGGAGGCAGCAGUGGGGAAUAUUGCGCAAUGGACGAAAGUCUGACGCAGCGACGCCGCGUGUGGGAUGACGGUCUUCGGAUUGUAAGCCACUGUCAGGAGGGACGAAUACGCCGCAAGGCGGGUGACGGUACCUCCAAAGGAAGCACCGGCUAACUCCGUGCCAGCAGCCGCGGUAAUACGGAGGGUGCGAGCGUUGUCCGGAAUCACUGGGCGUAAGGGGCGCGUAGGCGGCCUGAUAAGUAGGGGGUGAAAUCCUGCGGCUUAACCGCAGGGCUGCCUUCUAAACUGUCGGGCUCGAGCACAGUAGAGGCAGGUGGAAUUCCCGGUGUAGCGGUGGAAUGCGUAGAGAUCGGGAAGAACAUCAGUGGCGAAGGCGGCCUGCUGGGCUGUUGCUGACGCUGAGGCGCGACAGCGUGGGGAGCAAACAGGAUUAGAUACCCUGGUAGUCCACGCCGUAAACGAUGGGCACUAGGCGUCGGGGGGAGCGACCCUCCCGGUGCCGUCGCUAACGCAGUAAGUGCCCCGCCUGGGGAGUACGGCCGCAAGGCUGAAACUCAAAGGAAUUGACGG